rnacentral:pre_miRNA from 1 species
GGCUUGGCCGGCUCAACAGCUGUACAACGAAGCCCGGAUACUGUGUGUGUUGCGCUGUUUAGAGGUACGUAGCACCACAUGAUUCGGCUUCGUGGUGCACGCAACUGCAACAGAGGGCG